GGACUUUAAUAGUUUUGUAUUGGAAUGAGUUAAGUAUAAACCCCUUUACAAGUAUCAAUUGGAGGGCAAGUCUGGUGCCAGCAGCCGCGGUAAUUCCAGCUCCAAUAGCGUAUAUUAAAGUUGUUGCAGUUAAAAAGCUCGUAGUUGGAUUUCUGUUAAUAAUUUAUAUAUAAUAUUUUAUUAAUAUUUAUAUAGUAUUAACAUAAUUCAUAUUACUAUAUUUUAUAGUAUAUGAAAUUUUACUUUGAGAAAAUUAGAGUGCUUAAAGCAGGCAUUAGCCUUGAAUACUCCAGCAUGGAAUAAUAUAAAAGAUUUUUAUCUUUUUUAUUGGUUCUAAGAUAAAAAUAAUGAUUAAUAGGGACAGUUGGGGGCAUUUGUAUUUAACAGUCAGAGGUGAAAUUCUUAGAUUUGUUAAAGACAAACUAGUGCGAAAGCAUUUGCCAAGGAUGUUUUCAUUAAUCAAGAACGAAAGUUAGGGGAUCGAAGACGAUCAGAUACCGUCGUAGUCUUAACCAUAAACUAUGCCAACUAGAGAUUGGAGGUUGUUCCUUACUCC
rnacentral:rRNA from 1 species